rnacentral:lncRNA from 1 species
UUCAGUAUAAACUAAGCAUAGGUCUACACCCAAAGUACUACAUUAAAUCUUGUCACAAGGCCCUAACAGAUCCUUUUCCUAGCAUUCACUACAAUUCAUUAACAGAAAACUAAAUAGGUAGAGUCCACAGUCCAUUUAUGAAUACAUAUGCAAAAUACUACUGCAUGUCACGCUUACACACACAAUUUCAGAAAGAAAACCUAAUUAACAUCUAUAGUUCAAAGUCUAAUUACAAUAUAUGAAAACAAUAAAAGAAAUAAGGGAAAUAAGCUUCAAAUGCAGCCUUCGUUUAACAGAACUUCACUCAUGUUACAUGUUCAACUAUCAUUCCUCAAUCAUAAGCUAAAGAUGGUACCGGGAAAUUGGAAAGAAAAUAGGGGUGAACAACCAGCAAAUAAACACCAGGAAUCAGCAGCAAAACAGCCAGGAAAAAAUAAACUCCAAACCCAAAAUUGAUGUAUAGUAGCUCUAAAUAACAAAUUACGACCAACCAACAACCCAGGAAAACUAUAAACUAAACUUUUGAUGACCAAGCUCAAUCCAUUUCCCAUUCAGAUGAGUUAAAAUGGUUUCGAAAGUUGAAAAUAAAUCUAAAAUCACUGAAGAAAUACCAAUAAAACAGUAAAAGUCCAGUCGUUUAUAUUUUCUUAGAUUUUAU